ensembl:snoRNA SNORD114-15 small nucleolar RNA, C/D box 114-15
UGGAUCGAUGAUGACCACUGGUGGUGUAUGAGUCAUACAUGAUGAAUUAUGUGUCUGGAACUCUGAGGUCCUU